rnacentral:tRNA from 1 species
UGGCCCCAUCGUCUAGUUAGGCCUAGGACACUGGAUUUUCAUUCCAGCAACAGGGGUUCAAAUCCCCUUGGGGUCAU